AUUACAGAUAAUACCUUUUCGGGAAACAACAGGUCUCAUUCCGGACCCCGCAGUUAAGCCGGAACACGAAGUAUGGUGUACAGGUGUACGCGAGUCCUAAAGGAACUAUACCAAACUGCUAUC
rnacentral:rRNA from 1 species